rnacentral:rRNA from 1 species
CACCCUGAUCGUAUCUAGGUUCUAACCUGGUACCGUAAUCCGGUGCGGGGACAGUGUCAGGUGGGCAGUUUGACUGGGGCGGUCGCCUCCUAAAGAGUAACGGAGGCGCCCAAAGGUUCCCUCAGAAUGGUUGGAAAUCAUUCGAAGAGUGCAAAGGCAUAAGGGAGCUUGACUGCGAGACCUACAAGUCGAGCAGGGACGAAAGUCGGGCUUAGUGAUCCGGUGGUACCGCAUGGAAGGGCCAUCGCUCAACGGAUAAAAGCUACCCUGGGGAUAACAGGCUUAUCUCCCCCAAGAGUCCACAUCGACGGGGAGGUUUGGCACCUCGAUGUCGGCUCAUCGCAUCCUGGGGCUGAAGUAGGUCCCAAGGGUUGGGCUGUUCGCCCAUUAAAGCGGUACGCGAGCUGGGUUCAGAACGUCGUGAGACAGUUCGGUCCCUAUCUGUCGUGGGCGUAGGAAAUUUGAGAGGAGCUGUCCUUAGUACGAGAGGACCGGGAUGGACGUACCGCUGGUGUACCAGUUGUUCCGCCAGGAGCACCGCUGGGUAGCUAUGUACGGAAGGGAUAAGCGCUGAAAGCAUCUAAGCGUGAAGCCCCCCUCAAGAUGAGAUUUCCCAGUAUGUAAGACCCCUUGAAGACGACGAGGUAGAUAGGCUGGGGGUGGAAGUGCAGCAAUGCAUGGAGCUGACCAGUACUAAUCGGUCGAGGGCUUAUCC